AAACUAGUUUAUUUUAAAAAUUUUUGAUUGCAAGUCAGACGAAGAUAUUAUCGUUUU
rnacentral:tRNA from 1 species